rnacentral:rRNA from 1 species
AGUCGAACGGGAUUUAAGGUAGUAAUACUUUAAUGAGAGUGGCGCACGGGUGCGUAACACGUAUGCAACCUACCUUUAACUGGAAGAUAGCCCCGGGAAAUCGGGAUUAAUAUUUCAUAACAAUGCGCUGUGGCAUCACAGCACAUUUAAAGCUCCGGCGGUUAAAGAUGGGCAUGCGCGACAUUAGCUAGUUGGUGAGGUAACGGCUCACCAAGGCUACGAUGUCUAGGGGUCCUGAGAGGGUUAUCCCCCACACUGGUACUGAGACACGGACCAGACUCCUACGGGAGGCAGCAGUAAGGAAUAUUGGUCAAUGGGCGCAAGCCUGAACCAGCCAUGCCGCGUGCAGGAAGACGGCCCUAUGGGUUGUAAACUGCUUUUAUCAGGGAAUAAACCCUCGUACGUGUACGAGGCUGAAGGUACCUGAAGAAUAAGCAUCGGCUAACUCCGUGCCAGCAGCCGCGGUAAUACGGAGGAUGCAAGCGUUAUCCGGAUUCAUUGGGUUUAAAGGGUGCGCAGGCGGAUUGGUAAGUCAGG